rfam:Dipodomys ordii contig_22479, whole genome shotgun sequence.
GGUGGCUCAGUGGAAGAGCGCUUGCCUUGUCAUGCAUGAGGCCCUGGGUUCGAUUCCUCAGCACCA